UUUGUGGUCAAGCAUGUAAGGGCGUAUGGGGGAUGUCUAGGCGUCAAAAGGCGAUGAAGGGCGUGGAAGGCUGCGAAAUGCCUGGGGGAGUUGUCAAACGAGCGUUGAUCCCAGG
rnacentral:rRNA from 1 species